UCAGAUUGAACGCUGGCGGCAUGCUUUACACAUGCAAGUCGAACGGUAACAGGGAGCUUGCUCCGCUGACGAGUGGCGAACGGGUGAGUAAUGCGUCGGAACGUGCCGAGUAGUGGGGGAUAACGCAUCGAAAGGUGUGCUAAUACCGCAUACGUACUGAGGUAGAAAGUGGGGGACCUUCGGGCCUCACGCUAUUCGAGCGGCCGACGUCUGAUUAGCUAGUUGGUGAGGUAAAGGCUCACCAAGGCGACGAUCAGUAGCGGGUCUGAGAGGAUGAUCCGCCACACUGGGACUGAGACACGGCCCAGACUCCUACGGGAGGCAGCAGUGGGGAAUUUUGGACAAUGGGCGCAAGCCUGAUCCAGCCAUGCCGCGUGUCUGAAGAAGGCCUUCGGGUUGUAAAGGACUUUUGUCCGGGAGCAAAUACCCAGUGCUAAUAACGCUGGGGGCUGAGAGUACCGGAAGAAUAAGCACCGGCUAACUACGUGCCAGCAGCCGCGGUAAUACGUAGGGUGCAAGCGUUAAUCGGAAUUACUGGGCGUAAAGCGUGCGCAGGCGGUUUUGUAAGCCAGAUGUGAAAGCCCCGGGCUCAACCUGGGAACUGCGUUUGGAACUACAAGACUAGAGUGUGUC
rnacentral:rRNA from 1 species